GGAGCCUGCCCGAAACAAGCCCACUGGAAACAAACAAGAACCAUUUGAUCUUCUUGCUCCCAAGGGCCAAUCCCACCCGAAACCUAUCAUCUUCUUCCAGAGCUCCGCUUUCUCUUUCUAGCGGAUCCCGUCUCCUCCCCAGUUUGACUUGCGCCACCUCCCUCGAUCCACCGUCAUCGUCAUCCCCUCCUAGGCAUCGAGCUCGAACCAGGUCAGUCCCCGCAAACCCUAACUCCCUCCUGAUUUCGUGAAUGAAAGCGGGUCCAUCGUGCGUCGCCAACCGCUGUGUCAGGUAGCGGGUUCUGAAUUGUGGGUCUUUCGAAGUUUCGCUUUUCUGAUAGCAAAUUGUGGGUUUAUCGCUAAUGGGUGCGGGUUUGCUGUUCGAUGUGAAGCGAAUUCCGUGGUGGCUGCGGUGAUAGCUCCUUCUCCGCCGUCAAGGUCCCCAUCUCCCUCUCUACUGUACUUUCGUUUCGCGCUGGUCUAGGGUAUCGCUGGAUCAAUGCUACUACUGGAAUAUGAACUUUGAGUGAGGUCCAAGGCUCAUAAAGCUGUUUACAAUCAGACUCUUGUGACGAUAGUGGUGGAGUAUGCAUCUGUAGUUUACACGUCAGAUUUGACAAAACUUUUUAGUUGGACAUGUCCUAGUUGUGAUGGAAAGACCAAGGGGUUCUAAGUCAUUGAUCUGAUAGUUUGACGUCCAGCACUGCUUAUAGGCAUAUAUUAGGGUGGCCAGGACCUUAAUGCUGCGGUUAUAGAAAUAAAGAAGAAAGUGUGGGAGUCGCACCACGAUCUCUUCCCAGUUAAAGAAAAGACGAUUGCAGAAUCUAAGUUCAAGCUGAAUAGAAUCCACUUGAAGCAAAACGAGAUUCCGCGAGAGUUUUCUUGUCAUCGAUUGGGACUAGUCAAGCUUUGUAAAAGCUUUUGUCUUCUUUGUGCUUCUUCAGGGGCUUGCUGUGCUGGUGCACAGUUUGUUCUUCUUACAAUGAAAUUUAAUUAAGAGGAAUUGGGUUUUGCUGGAAGCUGGUUUAUAUGUUUGUCACGUGUUCCAAGCUGAUUUGUAUGAGGAAUCGGGUUUUUCUUCUGUAAGCAGGAAAGCAUAGAGAUUUCUGGGGAGAGAGACAACAGAAUUUUUUGAUGUAUAUUCAUUUGUCAAACUUUUUCCUUUUUUCAUAUGUAUGCUUGCACAAUCCCAGAGUGAAAGCGUGAUGAUAAGAUGAGAUGUGACAGUGUCCU